CAAAAUAAUUUGACCUUCUACAAUAUAUAUGAAGAUAUAAGAAAUAGGGAAGUUGAAGAGACUUCUAGCUUGUUCUUGUGCUCCAUCAAUGUUGUCUCUUUUUAUUACAUUGCUCUAAAUCCAUGAACUCGACUUCUUUUCUUCCCUAGUGAUACCAGUGACCAAUCGAGUCCACCAUUCUUUUGUGGUUGUUUUUCUUUCACUAACUAAAGGUACUAACUUAAUGAGUCCACCAAUCUUCCACUCAAUAGGUUGAAUCUCAAAGGGAUUAAUGCCACCAUUUGAGCUUAGAUAUGGGAAUUCAUCAGUAUUAUAACUCGGUUGGGGUAGCAAAAUACAAGCUAACUUUGAUGGCGAUAUUUUGUGUUCAUCUGCAAUCAGUUUCAUCCUAUCACGCGGUACAUCUAUUUUUCAACCUUCUAAUGAUGAAAUAUAAUUGAAGAAGGACUAAUAAAAUAUCAAUUUCCUAUCUCAAAACUCUACACCCUUAUCUGAACUUUGUUGAGUUUGAGGUGUUUCUACACAAGACACUCUAAAUCUCAUGAAUGUCAUGAAAACUCACUUAAUGAAGACUUCUUCAAAUCAAUAACAACAUAUCUGAUGAGUUAGAGAAUGUAAUCUCCUUUCCUUAUUCCAUGAUGUGUGCUGCUCGAGUGAUUACCAAGCUGGAAUCUUCUGAAACAAUAGCUCUUGAUAGGUACAAUGACGAAUGAAGCUAAAAUGCCUAGUUGGGUUAAAUCCAUCAUAGAAAGGCUUGAUGCCAUCGAUAGUCAAAUAAUGGACAGAAUGGAAGGGAGAUUGGAAGGGACGGAAGACUUUGCAAGAAGUUGAAUAACUUGAUGGAGCAUCAAAGCCUUCCUAAUCAAAUUUCCGUGAGUGGUCAUACUAUACACAAGGUAAUCAAACUUACUUUUGCACUCUAGUGAAUAGGGAUAAUAACAAACUAAGUAUGAAUGAUAGUUUGUCUUUAAGUGAGCCGAAUGUGCCUUUAUUUUGUGAUGAUAAUGUACAACUUGAAAUUGUGGAUAUACUAGUUGAUCCACCUAAUGUUAAAUCCAUUGUGUCAAGUGAUUGUACAUUGUCUUAUGGAAGUCAUGACAACCAACUUAUGUGUGAAAAUGGUGAUGUUGAACAAGUUGGUCGAUUGACUAAAGAUGACCCUCUAGUUGUUUUUAUUGUAAAUCAUCCUAGCAUAGAGGGGAUAUGUGAUUGUAUUGGUGGUAGUCUCGAGGAAAGGAAGCAUGUCCUCCACCCAUGUCCAUGGAUACCCUACCCCUUUGAUCCCAUUGAUCACUUGAGGUGUGGUUUUGAUUCAUUUCAAACCAUAUUCGGGAAUGACAUGUGUGCAUUGUGUAAGCAUGAUUAUGUUGAUGCUAAACAUGUCUUGUAUGUAAUUCGGGUUUCCUGGUGUAUCAUUUUUGAGAACCCGAGGGAUGUUUGGGUAAACGUGAAGUUUGAGCCACCUUAGCAUAAUGUUAUGAUUCAUUACACUAACCCUAACCCUCAUACCUUGAGAAACUUGUGUUUGUUUGUCCUUUCUAUCAUUUUGCAAGGUUCAGAUUCGAGGACGAAUCCUUUCUAAGGAGGGGAGGAUGAUACGGGUCAAAGAGGCAUCUUAGCACUCGAGGACAUAAAGACGUGAGUGAAGACCCGAUCUUGUAGGGCUGCCUAUCUAAGAAACAAACUUUGAAGUGUAGAGAACAAGUCCCACACUCCAAAGUUGUUACUGUUCAUCCGUCACUGUUCAUCCGCCCCUUUGUAAGGGUUUUUUGGUCAUUUGUAAUAAGUUGUCCUAGCUAUAAAUAUAACCUUAUUAGGUCAUUUUGGGGGAAAUUUUUGGAGAAUAUAUUUUGUAGCCUUUUUGAGAGUCUUUAGUAAGGUGGAAUCCUUGGACAAUAUGGAAUCCUUGUGUUGAUCAUUUGCUUAGAAACGGAGAUUACUUGAAAAUUUUAAUUCUCUUGAGGUCACGUAAGAGAUAGUUUUAGGUUGUGUGUGAUA